rnacentral:rRNA from 1 species
GUGGGGAAUAUUGCGCAAUGGGCGAAAGCCUGACGCAGCGACGCCGCGUGAGGGAUGAAGGUUUUCGGAUCGUAAACCUCUGUCAGAAGGGAAGAAACUACAUUGUGCUAAUCAGCAGUGUACUGACGGUACCUUCAAAGGAAGCACCGGCUAACUCCGUGCCAGCAGCCGCGGUAAUACGGAGGGUGCAAGCGGUAAUCGGAAUUACUGGGCGUAAAGCGCACUUAGGCUGUAGUGUAAGUCAGGGGUGAAAUCCCACGGCUCAACCGUGGAACUGCCUUUGAUACUGCACAACUUGAAUCCGGGAGAGGGUGGCGGAAUUCCAGGUGUAGGAGUGAAAUCCGUAGAUAUCUGGAGGAACAUCAGUGGCGAAGGCGGCCACCUGGACCGGUAUUGACGCUGAGGUGCGAAAGCGUGGGGAGCAAACAGGAUUAGAAACCCUGGUAGUCC